rnacentral:rRNA from 1 species
UACGUAGGGUGCGAGCGUUGUCCGGAAUUACUGGGCGUAAAGGGCUCGUAGGCGGUUUGUCGCGUCGGGAGUGAAAACCCAGGGCUUAACCCUGGGCUGGCUUUCGAUACGGGCAGACUAGAGGUAUGCAGGGGAGAACGGAAUUCCUGGUGUAGCGGUGAAAUGCGCAGAUAUCAGGAGGAACACCGAUGGCGAAGGCAGGUCUCUGGGCCGAUACUGACGCUGAGGAGCGAAAGCGUGGGGAGCGAACAGG